GCCACCGUAGCUCAGUUGGGAGAGCACCUGAUUUGUAAUCUGGAGGUCGGGGGUUCGAGUCCCCCCGGUGGCU
rnacentral:tRNA from 1 species